rnacentral:rRNA from 1 species
CUCGUAGGCGGUUCGUCGCGUCCGGUGUGAAAGUCCAUCGCUUAACGGUGGAUCCGCGCCGGGUACGGGCGGGCUUGAGUGCGGUAGGGGAGACUGGAAUUCCCGGUGUAACGGUGGAAUGUGUAGAUAUCGGGAGGAACAUCGGUGGCGAAGGCGGGUAACUGGACUGCAACUGACGCUGAGGCGCGAAAGUGUGGGAAGCAAACA